rnacentral:rRNA from 1 species
AACGAACGUUGGCGGCGUGGAUUAGGCAUGCAAGUCGAACGCGAAAGGGUAGCAAUACCCGAGUAAAGUGGCGAACGGGUGAGUAACGCGUAGGAAACCUGCCUUCGAGUGGGGGAUAACAUUCCUAACGGGUGCUAAUACCGCAUGAAACUGCGGGAUCGCAUGGUUCUGCAGUCAAAGGUGGCCUCUAUUUAUAAGCUACCGCUCAAAGAUGGUCCUGCGUCCCAUUAGCUAGNGGCGGGUAACGGCCCACCAAGGCAUCGAUGGGUAGCCGAUCUGAGAGGAUGACCGGCCACACUGGGACUGAGAUACGGCCCAGA